GGAGGGGUGGCAGAGUGGUCGAAUGCACCGGUCUUGAAAACCGGCAUAGGGAAACCUAUCGUGGGUUCGAAUCCCACCCCCUCCG
rnacentral:tRNA from 1 species